rnacentral:lncRNA from 1 species
GCCGAACUGCCGGGUUCGAGCCAUACCGAGCCGACUCGGUGCGAGACCGGGUUGGUUCGGCUGUGGGAGUUGGAACCGGUCUGAACCGGUUGGUUCCGAGCGGAAUCGGUGCGAAUCGGGACGGUUCGCACCGAUUCGAACCUCCCGGUUCGCACCGAUUCGAACCUCCCGGUUCGCACCGAUUCGAACCAAUUCUUAUACUCUUAGCAUUAUAGUUAUCAUUAUUAGAUAAUUGUUAACUAUGAUAGCUUUAGAUGGUGAUCAGAUAGCCAGACAGAGAGGGGCACGAAGGGUAAGUAGGCAGUUGCUCAGCUUAGCAAAAAAAGAAAAAGAAAAGAUAGUUGCAGCCCCGAUAGAAAGUGUGGAGGUGUUAAUUCACUCAGAUUUAGAGACCAGAAAGAGCAGCGAUGAUAAUUCUGGUGGUCAUGGAUCUGUUGGCCAGGAAAGAGUGGAGGACAUGAGACUACCAUUUAUGAGAUACAUCGUAGGGUGGUCUUUGAUUCACCGGUGAGUUUCAGUUUAUGCAUGCUACAUAGGAUAGGAACCACGGUGCAUGAUCUGGUAGAAGCCGCGACGAUAUGAUUGCAUAUAGGAAAUAAGCUUCUGGAGGUCAUUUAGAAGGACAUGAUGUAGCUCAGGAUAUGCUGAACCGGUAUCGAAAGCCGUACCAGUCGGCAACUGGACUGGUUUAGCUCGUUCGGUACCGGGCCUGUAUUGGGAGAGCCCAGCUGGAGCCGGAGAAAGAGAAGAGAAACAAUGAGCGAGCGAGAGAGGGAGGAAGGAGAGACCGCGGACUCCUGCGGAGGGCCUCGGGGGCGGCGGAGGCCGCGG